CAUGCGGGGGGAGGGGUUUAACCGGUGGUAGCGGACAGGGGGCGGAGGCUCCGUCUCUUCUGACCGACUCUGCUGCGCUGUCUCCGGCUUCUCGACUCUUCACUGACCCGGUGAAAGUUCCUCCUCCGCUGCAGACAUGGCUCCCAGCGCGCAGCUGAAGGAGGCGAUGGCCGACAUGCACGAGGGUCUGUCUGCAGGUUCUGUUGGAGAACGAUCGCAUGGAGAACAUAUUCAGUGACGUGAUCUACAGCCAGUUCACCACCGAGUUCACCAAGAUCCUCCAAUGUCUCAGACCCUCGGUCACAGCCGCUGGUUACGUCCAGUUGGGGGCGUACCCCCCCAUCGUCCUCCUCAACACCCUGCUCUUCUUCUGCUGCGAGGACUUUGGCUUCACCACGGUGGAGCAGCACCGCCAGCUGUCCUUCACCCAGCUCACCUGCUGCACCAGAACCAACCUGAACCACACCCGGACCACUUCCCUGCGCUUCUACCGCCCAUAUCCACGACUGAAGCUCCGCCAGACGGAGUUCCCGCUACAAACCGUCAUAAAGAUAACGUGGAGAAUUCCCUGGAGAUGAUGGAGAACCCGGAGAACCCGCUCCACUGCCCGGUCAGACUCUGUGAGUUCUACCUCUCCAAGUGCUCUGAGUCGGUGAAGCAGCGCAGCGACUGGUUUUUCCUUCGGUCCAGAUCGCUGCUGUGUUCCCAGCAGCCCCCACUGGUUCUCCUCUUCCCCACUGGAUGGCGACACCAUGGAGGCCAUGCUCGCUGGAACCCUCACAGUCCGAGAGCUGCAGGACAGAAGGUCGCAGAGCUUCGGCCCAACGGACAACAGACGACACCACGUUCACAUGUUUUUGUUAAAGUUGUUAAAGACAUUCUUUCUGAUAGAAACUGUAAAGAAGAGACAUCUUCAUCAAGACUUCCGGUUCUGACGCAAUUCACUUCUCUCCAGUCGCUGUACAUUCAUGUUUUAUUUCUUGUUUCCUUUCAGUCGGUUGAAUGUCAACACUUUCAGUUGUGA